ACGAUCUUAUUCUGUUGGUUUCUAGGAUCGAGAUAAUUGGGGCAUUAAUAUUUGAUUGUCAGAGGUGAAAUUCUUGGAUUUAUGAAAGAUUAAUUACUGCGAAAGCAUUUGUCAAGGAUGUUUUCGUUAAUCAAGAAC
rnacentral:ncRNA from 1 species